CUACUGAGUAACUAAUGGGUGAAGGAAGAAAUCACAAGGGAAAUUAGGAAAUACUUUGAGAUAAAUGAAAAGAAAGACAACAUACCAAAACAUAUGGGAUGUAGCUAAAGCAGUGCCUAGAGAGAAAUUUGUAACUGUAAAUGCUUAAAUAAACAGGAAGAAAUAAUGUAGGAUAAACAGGUUUAAAGAUCUAAUAUACAGGCUCGAGCUGUAGGCAUGCAGGGCUGGAGAUGCUGCAGACCCACGACCCGGAGCAGCUCGGAGGUGGUGAAUAAUAGCUCUUCAAGUCUGCAAUAAAAAAUGGCCUCCAAUAAAACUACAUUUCAAAAAAUAGGAAAAAAACAGAAUAGGAAGAGUAAAAAAGUUGAAGAGGCAGAGCCUGAAGAAUUUGUGGUGGAAAAAGUACUAGAUCGACAUGUAGUGAAUGGGAAAGUGGAAUAUUUCCUGAAGUGGAAGGGAUUUACAGAUGCUGACAAUACUUGGGAACCUGAAGAAAAUUUAGAUUGUCCAGAGUUGAUUGAAGCAUUUCUUAACUCUCAGAAAGCUGGCAAAGAAAAAGACGGUACAAAAAGAAAAUCUUUAUCUGACAGUGAAUCUGAUGACAGCAAAUCAAAGAAGAAAAGAGAUGCUGCUGACAAACCAAGAGGAUUUGCCAGAGGACUUGAUCCUGAAAGAAUAAUCGGUGCCACAGACAGCAGUGGAGAAUUGAUGUUUCUUAUGAAAUGGAAAGAUUCAGAUGAGGCAGACUUGGUGCUGGCGAAAGAGGAAAAUAUGAAGUAUCCUCAAAUUGUAAUUGCUUUUUAUGAAGGGAGACUAACUUGGCAUUCUUGUCCAGAAGAUGAAGCUCAAUAAUUGUUCACAUUGUUUUUUAAUAUAUAUUUAUAUAUAUAUAUAUAUAUGAAAUUUGGGUCUUGGAUUUUGAUUUACUAGUGUGAUGAAAUAACUACAUCCUAAUGAAAAUCAAGUUUGAUAUGUUUGUUUUGAAAGUAGCAUUGGAAGAGUUGUUGGGGGGUUUUUUUGCAUCCGUAGCACUGGUUACUUUGAACAAAUAAUGCUUUCUGUAGUUGCUUCCUUUAUCAGAAAAGAACAUUUGAUACCAUGGUGUAUUAUUUCCUCUUCAUUAAAGAACAGCUUUUCUAAAUGUUGGGGGAAAUGUCCAUAGUCAUUACUCAAUCAAAACUUGUGUUCUCAUAAGCCUAAGGACCAUUUUAUGUUUUUUACAUGUUUUUUUGUGUGUGUGUGUGUAUCCAUAAAAUGCAUAUGUAAAUUUUUCUUUGUUUUUAAGCAUUCACCCAAACAAAAAAUCACAGGUAAACCCAUGUUUCUGAGAUGCCAUUAUUCCGAGCAAUAUAAGAAAUAAUCACUUCAAGUUAAAUUGAAAAUUUUCCUGAAGCCAUACAUUUCAAGGGAAAUAAGUAAUUCUAAAUAGGACAAUUUAAAUUGGAUAAUUUUAAAGUAUCUAUAAUUGCAGUGGUUUAUUUGCAAAUUUCCUAAAAGGAAAGAUUUUAUCACUGCCAUCGCAGCAGGUUUCCUCAUCCAGAUGAGGAAACUAGACAAAUGCUAGUGUGUUUUAACUAGCUAAACAAAACUAAGUUAAAUGAAAAUUUUAAAAUUUCCCUAGUGAGCCAUUCCUUAACAAAAUGUUGAAAUCCCUGUUGCUACAUUGACUAAAAGGUAAUGAUGAAAGGAAUAUGUAAGACUUGGCUCAUAUAAACCUAAUCAGAUGGUUAGAGAUGUUGGCAGUUGAGGACCUGCUGCCAUAAAUGUGUGAACAACCUUUUGUAAGCUGACCUAUUGACCUGCAUAUUUUUUCUUUACCCCAACUGAUUCCUUACAUGUAGGCUCAAUCUUCAGUUAUUUGCUUUACUGGUUCAACAAAAGCCAGGAAGAACAACUUUGUAGUAAUCAGAGUGUUAUCCAACUGUAUAUUGUUUACUUGAUUGUAAAUACUGGUGAACAGUGGUUAAUAAAUAGUUUUAUAUUCCUUUAUGCAAAAAAAAA